rnacentral:lncRNA from 1 species
AGAGCUACGAAGAGACUACAAUGCCUCUGACUUUUUCAUAGGACAGUUGGCCGAGGAAGACAAACAUAAAGAUGAAGUGCUUAAUUCAAGGUCACACAAUGUCGGGGAUGGACCUCCAGAUUUCCUUACUGACCUGCAUUAUCUUGUGGAUACCUGAGUGAAUUCCACACCACCCAUUUUAUAGAUGAAACCACUGAGACAUGGAGCAACUGACUGAGUAGUCACUGCCCCACCCCUGCCUGGAGCCUCACACAUGACUCGUCUCCUCUCAGUGACCACAGGUUGGUUGAGGGGUUUAACAAGGCUAAGAAGUACUUAUCCUGUAUUACAUGAAGGAAAUGAAAUAAAAAGACUGCAACCCCACUCCCAGCUACUCAGUGAGGUGGUAGCUAGGUAAGAAAACAACCCUUUCCUUUUAGAUGAAAUUG